CAUAACAUUUUCCAGGCGUGGUCUGUAGGUAAAUUUAUUGAAGGUAGUUUGUAAAUUCAGGUUAUUGUUUCAUUUGCAAUAUGUACAUAGAUUUUGUGUUAUCAUAUAUAUUAAAUGUCUACUGUAUCUAAUUAUAAAAUAUCGGGAAGGCCAAGCAAAAAAACACAACUGCACGCAGUCUAUGAUAUCAAAAUUGUCGAGGGCACCUACAACCUCACAGGAUUCUGAUUCAAUGAUUAGUGACCCUCUUCCAUUGUCAACAUGGGAGGAACUUUCAGUGUCUCCUCAGUCAAUAGACACUGGUAGUAAUCCUGGUUCUAUUGUGCAUGCAGCCAACAACCAGGAAUUUAUAGUUGUAUCCACAAUUGAGAUGCCAUCCGAGAAUAAUAUACUAGUGUGAAGGAGAAAGUGGAGUUCUUAGAAGAUUUUAAAUGAAAAUAUGCUGAUGAAGAAGGCCUUAAAUGGAAUUGAUCAAUACUGCCAAACCUCUUAAAGAAGAGAAUGCCACCCUGAACCUGAAGGACAAUGUCCAGAGUCUAAAAGGCUCGAACAAAGCUUUAUUAGUGCAGGAGGCAGCAUAUGAGCUAAUCUAGACCCAUUAAAUGAAUAAAUAUUUUUUUUCAUUGCAGGUGGAGUGGAAUAGAUUAGCCUACCUGGAUGGUGGAAAAAUUAGGUUAGGUUUGGUAGGUUAAUAUUUUACAAUUUUUCAGUUAUGUUGUCUCAAUUUAAAUUAUUUUGAUGUAAUAUCGUUAUGUUUUGUAAGUAACUCAAGUAACGUAAAAAACGAUUACCUAAAUUAGACUAUUACUAAAAAGGUGUAUAUCAAAGUGGUAAUGUGGUGUACUAUGGAACUAGUUUUCCGCGUUCAAAUCGCCGCGAUAACAGGCUUGUAAAAUUUUAAAAUCUUAUCUUUAGUAAAGUUUGUGGAUGUUAAUAUUAUUAUCCUAAUGUAGCUUCAUGGGUAAGGAACUAUUAAAUCAAAGCAGUGGUGUGAUGAAUUAAGAGGUACUGUUGGGAUACCACCAUUUCUGUCGGGACAGGAAUAUCCAGCUCGGACGGUGAAAACGUAGCUGGGUUCACAGUCGACGUACAAUGUAGAUCUCAAGGUCAUCCCAAUGUCCUUUUUUUGGACGUCGUUAAGGAUCAUCCACUGUACGUCCUAAAAUGGAGGUCCAAUGGGUAUCCUUUUCUAGACAUAAAAAAAAAAAAAAAAAUUCUAUGCCCAACCUUAUCUCUGUAAUAGAGCAAGUGACUGUGACUGACGCGUACCGUACUGUUUUACGAGCGCACCUUACUAUUUUAAGAGAGAAAUUGUGGCUGGCGGCCACGUUUGUAUCUCGAUACAUACAUGGCUUCCAGCCACAAAAGCUAUCUUAAAACACCAAGGCGCGUUCGUACAAUAAAUUUGCGAGUGAUCCAGCCGAACAGUGACUUUAUCUCUAAUUUUCCAGCCAUCCGGCGACAUUAUGCUAUACAAUGGCAAUAUACUUUCGGAAAAACUAUGUUCUACUCCAUAGGAAUCAUAACUGAUCUGCUUAUUUUUUGUGUUAAUUUUUACGUUAUUGCUAGCCAAAAAAUCUAAUCCUAAGAUACAAUUUUCAUUAAGAUUUUCCAUCACUUAAAAGUUGUGGUUAAUUAAAUGAUUCUUAUUUAUUGUUAUUUUAAAUUCAUAUUGGCCUAAUGAUUUGAGCUCUUGUCAUGAUACUGUCCUAAAAUUCGGAUCAUCGAUGUUUUUAUCACUUAUGUUAAAAUAAAAGCUAGAUGAAAUUAAACUGGCUGCUGCACCAGCGUCUACUAAAA